CGUCAGCAGAUGGCGCCGCUCGGCUCGGCGCUCCGGCCCGGCGGGACGGCGGGCACCGGCGCGGGGCUGCUGCUGGAGUCGGCAGUUUCGCCAGGCUCGGCUCUGCCUGCUCGGGCUUUAUGGAGGAGACAGCAAAGCCAGAGUGCGUGCACUGAAGAAAAAAACCCUAAACUUUGUUGGGAGUGGUGAAAGUUCAGAGGAACUCAGCUCCUGAAGAAUUACUUGAUAAUCUGCCACAGAACAGCAGCCUGAUUCUCCAGUGCAUCAGGAUAUCCUUGUGCAAGACUGUAAAACUGGCCUACUGUUGAGAGUGUCUGCAGCAGAGCCAAGUCUGAAUUCACACCAUUAAGGGGCUCCUUCCUCCUCUGCUGUCGCCACAGGAGACAGACUGGGAUCCCCAAACAUGAGUGGUUCUCCAGUUGUUAUCACAGCCUAGAAAGCAAUAUAAACUAGAGGAAUAAAAGAGUGGUCUCUGCUCAGAAACCCCAUGUUCAGGUGGACCUGAUUCUGUUUUCUGCCUAUCUUCAGUGUGGUAAGUAACCAAAUUGUAAGACAUUUCUGGUUUUCUCUUUUCCAAUGUCAGAGUAAGGCUCUUAGACUAAACACCAGAAGAAAAUGCAGGAAACCUCAAUGAAAUUUUCUAUUUAAUGAAAUGCUGUAACAUUCUAAACAAGAUUAACAAGAUUCAA